rnacentral:rRNA from 1 species
GUGGGGAAUUUUGGACAAUGGGGGAAACCCUGAUCCAGCCAUUCCGCGUGAGUGAAGAAGGCCUUCGGGUUGUAAAGCUCUUUCAGGAGGGAAGAAACGGUUGCAGCUAAUACCUGCGACUAAUGACGGUACCUUCAGAAGAAGCACCGGCUAACUACGUGCCAGCAGCCGCGGUAAUACGUAGGGUGCGAGCGUUAAUCGGAAUUACUGGGCGUAAAGCGUGCGCAGGCGGUUUUGUAAGUCAGAUGUGAAAGCCCCGGGCUCAACCUGGGAACUGCGUUUGAAACUACAAGGCUAGAGUGUAGCAGAGGGGGGUAGAAUUCCACGUGUAGCAGUGAAAUGCGUAGAGAUGUGGAGGAAUACCGAUGGCGAAGGCAGCCCCCUGGGUUAACACUGACGCUCAUGUACGAAAGCGUGGGGAGCAAACAGGAUUAGAAACCCUUGUAGUCC